GUACUCGCUUCGGCGGUACAUAUACUAAAAUUGGAACGAUACAGAGAAGAUUAGUAUGGCCCCUGCGCAAGGAUGUCGAGAUUCGCGGAGAGCGGGCUAUUUAU